ensembl:lncRNA
GUGGAGACUAACUAUGAAAUGCUUACUGACAGAGACUUACCAACAAAGCGGCCGCGUAGCCUAGUGGUUAGAGUGUAGGGGCGGCAGCGUAGCCUAGUAGUUAGAGUGUAGGGGCGGCAGCGUGGCCUAGUGGAUAGAGUGUAGGGGCGGCAGGUAGCCUAGUGGUUAGAGUGGAGGGGCGGCAGGUAGCCUAGUGGUUAGAGUGGAGGGGCGGCAGGUAGCCUAGUGGUUAGAGUGGAGGGGCGGCAGGGUAGCCUAGUGGUUAGAGUGUAGGGCGGCAGCGUAGCCUAGUGGUUAGAGUGGAGGGGCGGCAGGUAGCCUAGUGGUUAGAGUGGAGGGGCGGCAACGUAGCCUAGUGGUUAGAGUGUAGGGACAGGCAGGUAGCCUAUUGGUUAGAGUGGAGGGGCAGCAGCGUAGCCUAGUGGCUAGAGUGUAGGGGCGGCAGCGUAACCUAGUGGUUAGAGUGUAGGGGCGGCAGGUAGCCUAGUGGUUAGAGUGGAGGGGCGGCAGGUAGCCUAGUGGUUAGAGUGGAGGGGCGGCAGGGUAGCCUAGUGGUUAGAGUGUAGGGGCGGCAGCGUAGCCUAGUGGUUAGAGUGUAGGGGCGGCAGGUAGCCUAGUGGUUAGAGGGUAGGGACAGGCAGGUAGCCUAGUGGUUAGAGUGGAGGGGCGGCAGGGUAGCCUAGUGGUUAGAGUGGAGUGGCGGCAGGUAGCCUAGUGGUUAGAGUGUAGGGGCGGCAGCGUAGCCUAGUGGUUAGAGUGUAGGCACAGGCACGUAGCCUAGUGGUUAGAGUGGAGGGGCGGCAGGGUAGCCUAGUGGUUAGAGUGUAGGGACAGGCAGGUAGCCUAGUGGUUAGAAUGUAGGGGCGGCAGGGUAGCCUAGUGGUUAGAGUGUAGGGGCGGCAAGUAGUCUAGUGGUUAGAUUGGAGGGGCGGCAGUGUAGCCUAGUGGUUAGAGUGUAGGGGCGGCAGGGUAGCCUAGUGGUUAGAGUGUAGGGGCGGCAGGUAGCCUAGUGGUUAGAGUGGUGGGGCGGCAGGUAGCCUAGUGGUUAGAGUGUAGGGGCGGCAGCGUAGCCUAGUGGUUAGAGUGUAGGGGCGGCAGGGUAGCCUAGUGGUUAGAGUGUAGGGGCGGCAGGUAGUCUAGUGGUUAGAGUGUAGGGGCGGCAGGGUAGCCUAGUGGUUAGAGUGUAGGGGUGGCAGCGUAGCCUAGUGGUUAGAGUGUAGGGACAGGCAGGUAGCCUAGUGGUUAGAGUGGAGGGGCGGCAGGUAGCCUAGUGGUUAGAGUGGUGGGGCGGCAGGUAGCCUAGUGGUUAGAGUGUAGGGGUG